rnacentral:rRNA from 1 species
AGAGUUUGAUCCUGGCUCAGGAUGAACGCUAGCUACAGGCUUAACACAUGCAAGUCGAGGGGUACCGGGGGGAAGGCUUGCCUUCCCUGCCGACGACCGGCGCACGGGUGAGUAACGCGUAUCCAACCUGCCCCAUAGUCAGGGAUAACCUUCCGAAAGGGAGCCUAAUACCUGAUGUCGUGCGAUGAUGGCAUCAGAGCCGCACGAAAGACUCGUCGCUAUGGGAUGGGGAUGCGUAGGAUUAGGCAGACGGCGGGGUAACGGCCCACCGUGCCGUCGAUCCUUAGGGGUUCUGAGAGGAAGGUCCCCCACACUGGUACUGAGACACGGACCAGACUCCUACGGGAGGCAGCAGUGAGGAAUAUUGGUCAAUGGGCGUAAGCCUGAACCAGCCAAGUAGCGUGCAGGAUGACGGCCCUACGGGUUGUAAACUGCUUUUAUGCGGGGAUAACCGGCGCCACGCGUGGCGUCCUGCAGGUACCGCAUGAAUAAGGACCGGCUAAUUCCGUGCCAGCAGCCGCGGUAAUACGGAAGGUCCAGGCGUUAUCCGGAUUUAUUGGGUUUAAAGGGAGCGUAGGCGGUGGCUUAAGCGUGUCGUGAAAUGCCGUGGCUCAACCAUGGCACUGCGGCGCGAACUGGGUCACUUGAGUGUGCUGAAGGCAGGCGGAAUUCGUGGUGUAGCGGUGAAAUGCUUAGAUAUCACGAGGAACCCCGAUUGCGAAGGCAGCCUGCCGCGUCACAACUGACGCUGAAGCUCGAAGGCGCGGGUAUCGAACAGGAUUAGAUACCCUGGUAGUCCGCGCGGUAAACGAUGGACGCCCGCUGUCGGUGCCUGGCAUCGGCGGCCAAGCGAAAGCGUUAAGCGUCCCACCUGGGGAGUACGCCGGCAACGGUGAAACUCAAAGGAAUUGACGGGGGCCCGCACAAGCGGAGGAACAUGUGGUUUAAUUCGAUGAUACGCGAGGAACCUUACCCGGGCUUGAACUGCAGCUGAACGAUUCAGAGAUGAUGAGGUCCUUCGGGACAGCUGUGGAGGUGCUGCAUGGUUGUCGUCAGCUCGUGCCGUGAGGUGUCGGCUUAAGUGCCAUAA